rnacentral:rRNA from 1 species
AGAGUUUGAUCCUGGCUCAGGAUGAACGCUAGCGGGAGGCUUAACACAUGCAAGUCGAGCGGGAUUAGCAGCAAUGCUAUGAGAGCGGCGGACGGGUGCGUAACGCGUAUGCAACCUGCCUUAUACAGGGGAAUAGCCCAUGGAAACGUGGAUUAAAGUCCCAUAGGAUGACGAUAUCGCAUGGUAUUGUGAUUAAAACUGAGGUGGUAUAAGAUGGGCAUGCGUCUGAUUAGGUAGUUGGUGAGGUAAUGGCUCACCAAGCCGACGAUCAGUAGGGGUUCUGAGAGGAUUACCCCCCACACUGGUACUGAGACACGGACCAGACUCCUACGGGAGGCAGCAGUGAGGAAUAUUGGUCAAUGGCCGGAAGGCUGAACCAGCCAUCCCGCGUGCAGGAUGACGGCCCUAUGGGUUGUAAACUGCUUUUGUACCUGAAGAAUAGGCCCAACGAGUUGGGAUUUGCCGGUAAGGUAUGAAUAAGCAUCGGCUAACUCCGUGCCAGCAGCCGCGGUAAUACGGAGGAUGCGAGCGUUAUCCGGAUUCAUUGGGUUUAAAGGGUGCGCAGGUGGGAAAAUAAGUCAGUGGUGAAAUACUGCCGCUUAACGGUAGAAUUGCCAUUGAUACUGUUUUUCUUGAGUAUGGUUGAGGUAGGUGGAAUGUGUU